rnacentral:tRNA from 1 species
GAGGGUAUAGCUCAAGUGGUAGAGCGCAUGCUUAGCAUGCACUAGAUCCUGGGUUCAAUCCCAGGUGCCUCCA